UAGGGAAUCUUCCGCAAUGGACGAAAGUCUGACCGAGCAACGCCGCGUGAGUGAAGAAGGUCUUCGGAUCGUAAAACUCUGUUCUUAGAGAAGAACAAGGACGUUAGUAACUGAACGCCCCCUGACGGUAUCUAACCAGAAAGCCACGGCUAACUACGUGCCAGCAGCCGCGGUAAUACGUAGGUGGCAAGCGUUGUCCGGAUUUAUUGGGCGUAAAGCGAGCGCAGGCGGUUUCUUAAGUCUGAUGUGAAAGCCCCCGGCUCAACCGGGGAAGGUCAGUGGAAACUGGGAGACUUGAGUGCAGAAGAGGAGAGUGGAAUUCCAUGUGUAGCGGUGAAAUGCGUAGAUAUAUGGAAGAACACCAGUGGCGAAGGCGGCUCUCUGGUCUGUAACUGACGCUGAGGCUCGAAAGCGUGGGGAGCAAACAGG
rnacentral:rRNA from 1 species